rnacentral:rRNA from 1 species
AACGUAGGGGACGAGCGUUAUCCGGAUUUACUGGGCGUAAAGCGCCCGUAGGCGGCUCGAUAAGUUGGACGUGAAAGCUCCCGGCUCAACUGGGAGAGGUCCUUGGAUACUGGCGAACUUGAGGGAUGCAGAGGAAAGUGGAAUUCCCGGUGUAGUGGUGAUAUGCGUAGAUAUCGGGAGGAACACCAGUGGCGAAGGCGGCUUUCUGGGCAUUUCCUGACGCUGAGACGCGAAAGCGUGGGGAGCGAACCGG